AACCUUAUGGACCUGCGGGCGUAUACCUGCGGAAGGAUCAUUAUCGAGUUGCAAAACUCCCUAAACCAUUGUGAACCUACCUGUACCGUUCCUUCGGCGGGCGGCGUCAAGCCCUAACCCGGUCCCCUUUACGGGGGAUGGACCCGCCGGAGGCUCCUAAACUCUUAAUUUUAGUUGGCAUCUCUGAGUAAAUCAAAAUAAGUCAAAACUUUCAACAACGGAUCUCAGAUCGGAAGAGCA
rnacentral:misc_RNA from 1 species